CACCUUCCCCCUCUGAGGCUUCUUCGUCGUUAAGAAUGCUUGCACCUUUCGUGGAACCAGGGAUGGUUGACGAAGACCUCGAGUUGCUUCUUUUCACCUUCCCCCUGUCGGAGUUCAAAAGGGGACUGAUGAUGAGGGUACACGCUUUGCCCAAUUUUCGCCUCGAUAGUUUCUUGAAACCUUAAGAGUGAUCUUUCCUUGGUGCUUUGAUCGGCAAGGAAAGGGGAGAAGGAAACAAGGAGAAGAUUCUGGUACGUGGGUUCAGGUGGAUUUGAGAGGGAGCACGAACGGAGUGUUGGGUAUGGACAUAGCAGAGGGUGGGUCGAGCAGCAGGAGGAGAAGAGACAGUGACCUGACGGAUAUCGUCUUCUCUUGGUCUCUUCACGACAUUCUCAACGAAAACUUCUACCAUGACCAGGUGGGGACAAUACCGGAGACAUUUCAGUCGGUCCAGCAUUAUCUGGGAUCUUAUGUCUAUCCUUUACUGGAAGAAACACGGGCGAGUCUGUGCUCGAGUUUGGAAAAUAUUUCUUCGCUGCCUUUCACCGAGGUUUAUGACUUUGUGGAAUGCAAGAGAAGUGGGAACUCAUAUGCUAUUAAGGCUGGUCGGUGGAGCAAUGAAUCCAACACUCGUGGCAAGGAAAGUUACAAAACUUUGCCUGGAGAUAUCUUGAUUCUAACUGAUGCUAAGCCAGCAACUGUUGCUGACUUGGAGAGGUUUGGAAGAAGAUGGGCGUUUGCAUCGGUAAGGAUGAUUGGAGGGGACGGUGAAGAGGAUGAGACAUUGUCAUCCACGUACUUUAAAGUGGAGGCAUUAUUGGACCAUGAAGUAAAAAAUUCCUGGAAGCCAAUGUAUGCAAUUUUCCUGAUAAAUAUAACCACUAACAGAAGGAUAUGGAAUGCGUUGCAUAUGUCUCUGAACUUGGAUAUCGUGAAGGAACUUCUCUGCAAAGAUUUGGUGGCUGAUAAAGUUUCUAAUCUCUGUAUUACAAAAGGUAAUGGUUCUGGGAGUGAGAGCCUUGACGAGAAAUUGUGCCAUAAUCUGAAUGAAUCCCAAAAAGAAGCAGUUGGAGCCUGUCUCAGUAAACUCCAAUGUGAGAACAAGCCAUCUGUUGAACUGAUAUGGGGUCCUCCUGGAACUGGGAAAACUAAAACCGUCGCCACACUGCUAUUUACUCUCUUGAAAAGGAAACAUAGAACCAUUGUUUGUGCACCUACAAAUGUUGCCAUCAAGGAAGUGGCAUCGCGUGUUCUAAAGCUGCUAAAGGAAUCAGAUAGUGGUAUAAGCACUGAAAUGGAAAGUUUGCUCUGUUACUUUGGAGACAUGGUUAUUUUUGGGAACAAGGAGCGUCUGAAAGUUGAUUCCGACAUUGAACAAAUAUUUUUAGAACACCGUGUAGAUUGUGUUGCUGAGUGCUUUUCUAAAUUCACCGGUUGGCAUCAGUGUCUAACUUCCAUGAUAGAUACUCUUGCCGACUGUGUGCAUCAAUACCACAUAUUUUUGGAAAACGAACACACAAAAAGAGCGAAACCAGAAAGUGAUGAGGAUGGGAGCAAAUGCAGAAGCAGUGAAAAAGAUGGUAACUGUGAGCUUAAAUCAUUUCUUGAGUUUUUCAGGGACCGAUUCAAGGCAUCUGUCCAGCCCCUGCGGAGAUGCCUCUUUAUUUUCUGUACUCAUAUAUCAAGAACUAAUUUCCAGAAUAUUACAUCCCUCAUUAACUUACUUGAUUCUUUUGAAACUUUAUUAUGUGGAGAGAAGUUGGAUUCAGAGAUGAUGGAGAUAACUCUUUCACGUGAUGAACUUAGCCCGUUUCCAUUUAAGAUGUCCAUGUGUCCACUAUAUAAUUUAUAUAUGAAGAGACAGGAAUGCCUUUCCAUGUUGCUAACCGUUUGUGAUUCUCUGAAGGAUCUAAAACUUCCAAACUUUACGAGUAAGGCCAUGAUAGCAGACUUCUGUUAUCAACAUGCUUCCCUGAUUUUUUGCACUGCUUCUAGUUCAUAUAAGCUGUACUCUGUGGAAAUGGAGCCUCUCAAUUUACUGGUGAUCGAUGAGGCAGCCCAGUUGAAAGAAUGCGAAUCAGUAAUUCCUCUGCAACUCCCUGGUGUCAAGCAUUUGAUUUUAGUAGGAGAUGAGUGUCAGUUGCCUGCUAUGGUCGAAAGCAAGGUUUCCAAUAGGGCCGGAUUUGGAAGGAGUCUGUUUGAACGAUUGAGUUCACUGGGUUAUUCAAGGCAACUUCUCAAUAUACAAUACCGGAUGCAUCCAUCAAUAAGUCUGUUCCCGACUUCAAACUUUUAUCAAAACCAAAUUUUGGAUGGGCCAGAUGUGAAGAGCAAAAGUUACAGGAAAAGUCAUUUGCCAUGGCCAAUGUUUGGCCCUUACUCGUUCAUAAAUAUUCCUGAUGGACGAGAACAGUUCGGUGAUGACCGCUGUAGCCUUAGAAACCUUGUUGAGGUGGAAAUUAUUUCAAGGAUAGUGAGGAAUCUGUACAGAGCUUGGGAUAUGUCAAAAGAAGAUCUGACAGUAGGUGUGAUAUCUCCCUACACAGCUCAGGUUGCUGCAGUACAAGCUAAACUUGGAAAAAGGUAUGAAAAUAUCGAGGGCUUUAUGGUCAAGGUGAAGUCAGUGGAUGGAUUCCAAGGUGGUGAAGAAGACAUUGUUAUAAUAUCCACUGUAAGAUCAAACUUGUGUGGGGAUAUUGGUUUCUUGUCCAGUACUAAGAGAACCAAUGUUGCUCUUACCAGGGCCAGGUAUUGUCUGUGGAUUCUGGGAAAUGGGAAAACACUGACGAAAAGCAAUUCUGUAUGGAAAGCUUUGGUUGACAAUGCUAUGAGUCGUAGAUGUUUCUACAAUGUUGACGAUGACAAGGAACUGGCUAACGCCAUCUUAGAUGUGAAGAAAGAGAAUAAUGAGCUUGAUGACCUGCUAGACAGAAACAGUGUACUUUUCAGAAAUGCUAGGUGGAAGGUUCUUUUCAGUGACAACUUCCUGAAGUCUUUCAGAAAGUUGACAUCACUCGGGACAAAGAUGUCAAUCAUUAUGCUUCUGUCAAGACUAUCCAGUGGCUGGAGACCAAAGAAGGGGAAUGUGGAUAUAAUUUGUGAACACUCAUCUCAUAUCGUGAGACAAUUUAAGGCUGAAGGUCUCUAUGUCUUAUGCACGAUUGAUAUUGUAAAGGAACAGAGAUACAUCCAAAUCCUGAAGAUAUGGGAUGUAGUGCCUUUAAAGGAUGUGGCAAAAUUGGUCAAACGUUUGGACAGCAUAUUCAGGAAAUACAGUGAUGAUUUUAUCAGUCGUUGCAAUGAGAAAUGCAUUGAAGGGGGUCAGGAAGUUCCGAAGACAUGGGUCUGUCCUUCUGAUUUUGUCCGCUGUUGAAGUCCUGGUGAAGAUCAAUUUGGGAGUAGUUUUCAUGCUGAUGCUUCCGAUCGUAGGCCGUAUGCAGAGAAUGCGAAAGUGAGUGGGAGUUUGCUUCUGAUGAAAUUCUACCCAUUAUCAUCAGAUGUUGUCAGCCAUUUGCUUGAUGACAGUGAUGGUAACGAAGCAAGUCUUCCAUUUGAAGUAAAAGAGCAAGAACAAGAGUUAAUUCUUUUCCCCAGAAGCACUUUUUAUACUCGGGCGAUCUGGAACCUGAAAAACUACAGUCCUGACAUGAAGUUUCUUAGAAAUGAGAAAACACAUGAUAAAGCAACCAAGGGAUUUCAGGAAAUCUAAAGUGGUAUCAGCCACAGCAAAGAUGCCUCUUCAAAAAUCAAUGUUGAGGAAUUUGGUGAAGGAGCAGAGGAUUGUGUAUUGCGCCAGCUUUUUGUGACCAUCAGUGUAAAAUUAUGUUUUGUGGUCAAACAUGUAUCUUAACUUAGAAGCUCUAGCAUUGGGGCAAAACAGAGUAAAAAGCUCUUCAGUUGAUGAGAUUGUUGAUGAUGCAGCAUUAUUCAAGGAUAUCCCUGAUUCAUUUGCUUAUGUAUCUCCCAACUCUUAUCUCCUUGUUAUAACUUUUCGUAAGCUUCUGAUGAUGCUAGAUGGAACAGUUGGGGUUUCAUUCUUUGAAAGGUUUCCCAAUCUGAGGGAGUUUUUUGAUUGCCAAUCCUACAAUUCUAGACCAGUUGCCUUGCAAAGUCUUCUAAAAACAAAGGAAGUUACUAAGGAGGCUUGAUCCUUCCAGAGUCUUCACUGAAAUAACGUCCCACAUAAAGGGUGGUCUUCAACCAGCAGAUGGUUGUGAAGGCAAACUUGACAGACUAGCUUAUGUUUGACUUUCAGAGGAUCAUUUCUUCACUCUGAGUGUUCAGAGGAGAAGAAAUUUAUGACGCUUUUGAGGAUUAUGAAAAGAUGAAAAUGAAUAAUGGUGAAUCUGAUUUGGCCGAUCUUGUCAAUGAUCUUCAUUGCCGUCUUCUUCGUGAGCAGUUUGCUGGAAAGGUCGUGGAUUUUGAAUAUAUUGAUGAAGUGCAGGAUCUCACCACGAGACAAAUUUCACUGUUCAAGUAUAUCUGUAGAAACGUUGAUGGGGGUCUUUGUGUUUUCUGGCGACACUGCAUAAACUAUUGCAAGGGGAAUAGUCUUCAGGUCUGAAGACAUAAGGUCCGUUUUCUACAAGGAGUUCUUGAUAAAUUCAACGGAUGGACCUGAUGUCACAAUGGAAAAGGGUUGUCUUUCCAAAACUUUCCAUUUGAACCAGAACUUCCGCACUCAUGCUGGUAUACUCAAAACUGGUGCAGAGCGUUGUUGAUCUUCUUUACCAUUUUUUCCCUUUAUCCGUUGAUGCUUUGAGGCCUGAAACUAGCUUUAUAUGUGGAGAAGCCGCAAUUUUACUAGAAUCAGAGAAUGAUGAGUGCCAUACUAUUACUUUUUGGCAACAAUAAUGUUGGUAGUAAUUUGGUUGGCUUUGGGGCAGAGCAGGUUAUUUUGGUUCAAGAUGAUCAUUCUCGAAAUGAAGUUUCAAACCUUGUGAGAGGGUAAGCCCUAGUUCUGACAAUAGUGGAGUGCAAGGUGUUGGAAUUUCAGGACAUCUUAUUGUACAACGUUUUUGGCACGUCACCUCUUAAAAGUCAAUGGAGGGUCAUUUAUGGAUCCAUGAAGGAGCGAGCUUUGCUCAAUAACAGCUCUCAAUGGUCUUCCCCAAGUUUCGAUGAUGCGAAGCACAAUAUAUUAUGCUCUGAAUUGAAGCAAUUGUAUGUCGCAAUUACUCAGACAAGGUUAAGAUUGUGGAUUGGUGAGAAUACCCUGGAGUUCUCCAAACCAAUGUUCGACUACUGGAAGAAGAAGUGGCUCAUUCAAGUUAGGGUGGUAGAUCAUGCCCUUGGAGAAGCAAUGCAGGUCACGAGCACGCCAGAGGAGUGGAAGUCACAAGGUUUUAGGGUCAGCUGUUUUUCUGUUUUUUUCUUUAUUAAUUGUUUCCACUUCACGGAAUUCUUAUUUUCGCCUCAUUUGGAGUCAACAUGAUCUGUGGAUGCUAGGGAUUUUGCAAUGACAAUGUGAUUGUAAAAGUGUGAUUGAUCCUGAACAAACUGUGUAUAACGGGGACGUUCCGUGGUACAAAAUAUGGUG